CACACCAAAAAUGAAGGUUUCGGAAAUUCUUGAUUAUGGUAUCUAUGGCUCUCUUCGUUUUCUUCUUUCUUUCUUUUUUUUUUUUUGACUUUCUUUGUUCAUGAUUUACUGAAGCAUACCAUGGAUGUUUACAUGUGCUUGAGGCAGGCUCACGGUGAAUCUAUAGCUUUUUUAUUUUUCUUCUUCUCAUUUUUAUUCUGGUAGAUAAGCUUCGCAGACUUCCUAUGUACA
rnacentral:lncRNA from 1 species